GCGGCGGGAUACGUUUUCAGGGACCAAGGUUGAGAGGUUCAGGGCUGUGCUUGGAGCAUCGACGCCACACAUUCACCAUCCAUUCCUGUCACGAACAGGCAAUUCCAUCCUCAGGCAGCUCAAGUGGACGAAGUUCUCCAUGUGCCUGGUGGGUUUGGGGGAAUCAAACAAGCCCGCUUUUUCUCGGAGAGACUGCCGUCCUGCCCGAGCUUGAUACUCCUCCCGAUUUUAGCACCCAAAAAUCACCCCGAUUCUUGAGACGCAUCAA